CUGGGUAUUGGUUCUAAGGCAGAGGAGUGGUAAGGACUAGGCAAUGGGGGUUAAGUGACUUGCCCAGGGUCACACAUCUAGGAAGUAUCUGAGGCCAGAUGUGAACCCAGGACCUCCCAUCUCUGGGCCUGACUCUCAAUCCACUGAGCAACCCAGCUACCCUGAUCUAUUAUUUUUUUACUUUCCCCAUUUUAUUCACAUUUUAAGAUUAACUUUAAUCUUAGAAUCACUUAUCCAUACACCUAUUUCCUUUGUUUUUUUUUUUUUUUUUGGAAUUUUGGGUUUUUUGUGCUUCUGUGGAGUUUGCCAUCUCUAUCUGAGUGGGGAGAGGAUUAGCUUUUCUUAUCUCUGUCUGGCGUUCAGAGGUUUUAGCCCUAGGCAGAUUGUCCAUUCUAUGGCUUGGCCCUUGUUUCUGUGCCUCAGCGGGCUGGAAGGCUUCCUGGAGCUCUGAGGGCUGGUGGUAGGAUUAACCUCAGACUGAGUAUGCCCUCAGGCAAGGACCUUCAGUGAAACUCAGAUGGAAGGAUCUGGUCAGGGGGCUACAGGCUCCCCCCCCCAUCUCUCUCUGCCUCCCUGCUGUCUAGGUGCCCCUGUGACUGGCUCAGGUCAUUUUUAGGGGGUGGCCCUCAGAACAGCCAGCUCCGGAGGCCCCCCUGCCUGCCCUGAGGUUCCUGCUGCUGCCUCGGACUCAGCACUCUGGGUUGGGGGGGAUGGGUCCUGGGACCUUCCCUUUGCCCUUAGAUCCAAGUGAUCUCAGGCUCUGACCCUUGGUGUGCCAUACCUUUUGAUCCAGGUCCAGGAGGAGUGUUUCCGGGGUCUAUUCUGCUGUUUGUUUUGAAUUUCGAUGCCCUAGGAGCAUUCCGUUUGAGAUUGGUAAGGAAGGCUUUCUGGAGCUCCGAACUUUAGCUUUCUCUAAGCUGCCAUCUUGACCGGAAGUCUCUUAAAUUUUUUUUUCUUAAUUUUAAUUUAAAAUUAAAUUAAUUAAUUAAAUUUAAUUAAAUAAAAUUAUUUAAAAAAAUUUUUUUUAACCCUUA
rnacentral:lncRNA from 1 species